UUAAUUGCCAUGGAAUGAACUGUAAUAAUGGUCUUCUGUCUUUAUUGAAGAAUUUAUGUUUAUUCCUUUUAGAGAUGUGAUCCUUGUGGUGGUGAAAUAGUGCUCUUCAAAAUCAUUACAUAUUACAAUGAGGCUAAUUUGUGUGAUGCUCUUAUUUGGAAGAGAUGAUUGCAUCACCAAACUGUUGUGGAAUUAGCAAAUGGUGUGGAUGGACCAUUGUUUCCACACUAUUAAUGAUUUCCAUGUAAGAGAAGUUACCAACUGGGAUUAGACUUGGUUGAUUUGUCAAUUGGAGUGCUCAACCACUGCUGGAGGUUGGUUAAGUGGUCAGGUGGCAUUCAUUGUGUUGGACUUUCUAUUUACAUGUGAUCGGUUAUAAAUCUGAGUGUGUAUUUUGUGUACAACCUGUUGUUACUUGAUCUUUGCUAUUAAAUGUGGUAAUUUGUCACGAUGGCUGAACCAUGCAUAUACAGUAAGUUGCUUAUUGUGGAGAUUUUCUUGAAUGGUUAAUAGGUUACACCUUUUAGUUGAGUCUGCCUACAAAGCUUGUUGCAGCUGUAAAUGUGGUAUGGUACUUCGGAUUCACUUACCCUCUUUGAUAGUGAACCCCACAUGAGCAUCCAGAGUGCAUGGCAUAAUUUUAGCUUCACAGUCUCAAACAGGAAAAAAAAUGCAUCAUACUCAUCAAUGUCCACUGAAUUUACAUUGUCACCUUAGAGGUCCUUGACCAAGCUGGCAUACCAAAAUAGCCAGUAGUCCACGGCAUGUACAUCUUGAAUAACAUACUUGCCCACAACGUGUGUUAAGGCCAUGACACAACCCCUAAGCAAGCCCCUAGCUAGUGGCUGAGUACUAAGGCAAUUGAUGACCCCAAGACAUGCUGACGGUACUUAUACACUCAUAUAAGCCAAGUGCAUAUCCUUGCCUAAAAUGUGCAUUAGGGCCGUGACAUGGCCACAGAGUACACAGCUCAUGAGCAUUGUUGAACACUCAUAUGGAGCAUGAAAUAUAUUUCCAUUGGAAAUGGUGCCAAUCAAGUGAAUAGUCUGCAUGGCAUGGUGGUUGCAUGUCAGACUUUUUAGCUGAGUGUUACUUUAUAGUGUCCUCACUCCUUGCUUGUCAUCAUACUCUCCAUGAUUCACUGUCUUUCUGCAGCUCCUAAUUGUCAUCAAGUUCAUGCCAUGCUCCUCCAUCAAGGGCACAAUGUGCUAUGGAUUUUGCUGUAAUGGGGUUCUGGGAACCCAUUAACAUCUUAGGAAAUCCCUAGAGCAUGGCAUGUAGGUGAGGGCCUUGAGGCUAGGCAUGCAACCAUAGGUGGUCACUCUCACCAUCACUUUCCAUCUGGAAGACAAAAUGGUGCCAUUAAUGUGCUUCUUGGAAACUCCAUCAUUACCUGUAUAAACACCUAAUUCACCUCAGAAUUGCAUACUGUUUCUUUUGUGACCUUUUUCUGUACCAGACCAUUUUCCCCCUAAAAGUAGUAAAAUUAUAUGAUCAAUUAAGUAUAUAUGAUUUGGGCUAGUUGAAAGAAUUUGACAUGUGUCUACCUGAAUGUGACAAACCUACUAUGCAUUUUGUCAUCUGUUUAAGACAACAUCUCUAUAUCCAAAACUGAUAAUUUGCAGUAUUUGCUCACUAGGAAGGCAUAAGCGUACUCUUGAGACCUGGCUCAAGUGGUAAAUGGAUGGAGUGGGUUUAUGGGAGGUUAGAGGUUCAAAUCUCAAUGGGGACAAAUAAUGAAAAAAGAAAAAAAAAAAAGCGUACUCUGGAGAUGCUAUCUGGGGCCUCAUCCCAGUGGGUGGGUUCGAGUACUGUUGCCUUGAGGCACCUCUUUCCAUGCCAUCUUACACCAUUUAGACUUGUGCCAACUACUGAAGAGCACACUGAGCUGCAUUCCUGAAGGUCACUGAUGGCUAAUGUUGGAUCCUCUCAUCCUUAUUCUAGUUGCUCCUUUAGUAGUGUUCAUGUCUAUAUGUGCUUGAGAAACUGUGGCACUUGGUGAUCACAUAGGUGGCCAGUAUUUCAUUUCUGAGUCAUUUUUAUUCAGUUAAUCAGAUAUUUGUGUCAUAAAUUCAUUAUUGAAGGAUGAUGUCAUAUCAUUCAGGACAGGAAGCCACUCUAAAGCAUAUUCUUUUAUUUUUCCUUUCCCUCCAGUCACUCCUAGAGAAAACUCCCUUCAUCGUUGAAGGGUGAAGCUGCUUAAGGUGCCCAGAACUCUUUUCUGUUUCUUAUUUUAUGCUCAUGAUUUAUUUGGAAACUAUAUAUGGUGAAUUGGAUGUUUUAAGAAUAGUGAUAUCAUUUUAUUUGGAAACUACCAAUAAUAUACUGGAUGAUUUAAGAGCAGUGGCAUCUCAUUUCUUGUUGCAAUGCUGUCACAUUGAGGCUUUGUUUGGGAGGUGUUUUUGGAAAUGGUUUUGAAAAACAAUUUUUGAGAAUAGUUCUUAAGAAUAGUUUGUUGGUGUUUUUAGAAGUAAAAUUGCAUUUGGAAAUUGAGUUCUAAAAGACAAUUUUUUUUUUGUUUUUAGAAACAAUAAAAGAUGUUUAGUUGAAUUAAUAAAAACAGUAUUAUAAAACAAGUAUAAAAAAAAAAUUGCUUGGAAGUUUUUUUUGAUCGAGUAUUUUCCUUAAUUAACUUGAUAUUUUAAAUGUAUAUAUAUUUUAGAUUUUACACUUUAUAAAAUUAAAAAAAUUGUAUCCAUUUUUAAAAUUGCUUGCAUCAUUUUUACAAUUGUUAUUGCCACAAUCUGUAAUUUGUGCUACACGUUUAUAGCAGAUUCAUCCUCAAUAGAACAUAACACAUUAGUAAACCAAUGGACGAAAAACCAUAUGAAUCAAACUCAUUCAAUUGCUCAAGCUCAACUUUCAACUGCUCAAUCUUCAGCCCCAGUGACCUCAUCACCAUCCUUCUGUGACUCUCCAGCAAUUUCUCCAAAAGACCCUCAAACAUGUCCACCACCUCCUUCAUAACAGCUUUUGUACAACUGGCUUCUUCAUCAAAAUAUAAUCUCCAAAGUCAUCUCUAUCUCCACCCUCACCUUUGCAAACUUGAGGUUGAUCUCCUCCACUACCUUGUCCUUAUCCAACUUGUUCACAGACCCACCACUGUAUUUUUUCAGACUCACCCGAGAAAUGAACUGGGUUGAUGGAUUUGACCUAUUUAGGGGAGGAAAAUAGUGGGAUUUGCAGGCAGGUGUGUAGAAAAUUUGGGGUUUUGGAGACAGAAUCGAGUUUGAAAUGAGUUGGUUGGGGAUUUGUGUGAGCGAGUUCAGUGGAAUCAGAGAAGUGGGUAUUAAAGAUCUUUGAAAAGUGUGCCUGAGGAUCAAUUUACAGAGCAAAAUGUGUAAAUGUUGAUGCAUUUCUGUCCAGAGACAGAACAAAGAUGAACAAGUGGGCGAACAGAGCUGUUCUUCCUGUUUUCUCCUUUUAUGUUUUUUUUUUUGUUUCCUCAACAGUGUUGAAAACAAGAGAACAGCUUCAAGUUGUUCUAAAAAAUACCCUUUUUUGAGAACAAUUCUCAAAAACAAGCCAUGGAAACAAUGGGCAAUCAAACAUGUUUUUAUGGUUUUUUGUUCUCAAAAACAAAAAUCUGCUCUUGAGAACAGCUCCCAAACAUACCCUAAUAUUCUUUUUUGGAAAUUAGAAAUUUGGCCUCUAGAGGAGGUGUUCCAUCUUCCAUGAUGGAAUGUUGCUGUAAUACAGUGGAUCAGUGAUUUAAUUAUAUUUUCAAAUCUCAAUCUUGCAGUUUUAUUUUGGGUUUAGGUAAAUCACUUCCCAUGUGUUAGUGAAUUUCUUUAUGAGUCUCUAGUUGCAAGUUUUUACCCAAACAUGGCUAAUGAGAAAACCGUGCUUCCAUUUUUGUUGUUUGGGUUGAGUGCUACUUCUGAAGUACAGUGUUUUGAGUGACUAAUUCAUCAGAGGUGUAUUGUGCUUCUGCCCAUCAUUGCUUUUGUUUCUUCUGUGGUGCUAUUAAUAUACAGAUAAGAAGCAAAGCUUGUGCACUGAUUUGUCAAAGGAGAUUCCCUGUGGCAAGUCUUAUUUGAUUGAGCUGAAGUGAUUGAUAACAUGGGGGUCUCAGGGAAAUGGAUUAAAGCAUUGGUUGGUUUAAAGAAAUCAGAAAAGUCGCAGUCUUCAGAGAAGGAUGAAAAUGUGAGUAAUUUUUUUUUUUAUAAGUUUCCAAAUUUUGUAUGUUUUUUCUUUUCCUGCUUGGUAAAGAUAUGCGUAUCUUAUGCUAGUUUCUUGUCUGAAGUUGGAGUCUAUUAAUGGUUAUUCUCGUUUUGAAUGUGCUAUUAGGAAUAAUGAAUUCUCAUCUUACAUCUGAGAGAAAGUUCAGAGAAUGAAAUUUUUUUGGGGUUAGCUAUUCCAUCUGGCAUGUGGUAUAUCUGCUGGCAUCUGUUCUACUUGACUUAAUACCUAGUUGUUGAUAAGCAUGAUGACUUCCACAUUUACUAUCUGAUUUUUUUUUUUCCAGUAAGAUUUGGGAAUUAUGUCAUAUUUUGAGUUAUUUAUAUACGUCUAACUAACUCUGUCUAGUUCAGAGUUUUUUCUCUCAUAGAACUGGUCCCUGGCUUGGAGAAAGGAUUAGGAUAGUGUAAAAAAAAGGCAAUGUAAAGACAGAGGGAGAAGAGGGGAUUUUGCAAUGCAAAUUGAUCAAUGAGGUGCGUAACCCUAUCUCAGCUGUUUCUGAGCGAGAUCUUCCUCUGUCUGGGGCUUUUGAGCCAAAUCUUAUUCCCGAAACCUCGGUUUCUUUGGUUCAUCCUUUUUGUGUACACUCUUCUUCUUCAUAUCCGUUGGAGUCAAGCCACGCUUUUCAGCGUGGGUCUAUUUCUAUCUCUCCUGUGGUGUAUGAUAACCAUCGUGGUGGUGCGUCCUGUUCGUAUGGUGUGGUGGUACCCCUAGAAACCUCUAACCAAAAAUCUAAAGACCGACCUUUCCUGAGGGAAACUCUUAGCAACCUUGAGGUGCAUGGUGUCUCAGGUGAGGCUUCGUUCCCAGUGCAAGAACCUUCCACUCUCCCAUUGGAAGGUUUUCAGGUUGAGGGGCUUACGCCUCGGGAGAUGGUCAAGGUUCAGUCGGUUCUGGAGAGUUUGAGGGUUAGAAUUGUUAGGGAUAAUGGGAAAGGUGUGGAAGGAGAGAACAGGAAUCCUCUCUCUGCGGACAAGGUUUAUUCCAGAAGAAAGAAGAAAAAGGAUUCUGGAACUCGAGGAGAGGAUUAGUCCUGGGUGCGGGUUGUGUUGGGUUGUGAUUGUUCUCAUGAAGAUUUUAAGCUGGAAUACAAGAGGUUUAGGUUCUAGGAAGAAAAGGAGAACGGUGAGAAGGUUUUUAAGUACUCAAAACCCAGAUGUGGUGAUGCUUCAAGAAACAAAGCGUGAAAUUUGGGAUAGGAGGUUAGUGAGUAGUAUUUGGAAAGGUAAAAGUCUGGAUUGGGUUGCUCUUCCUGCUUGUGGGGCAUCGGGGGGGAUUGUGAUCUUGUGGGAUUCAGUUAAGUUCAAUUGUUCAGAGAAGGUGUUAGGAUCCUUCUCUGUUACUGUAAAAUUGAACUCUGACGAGGAAGAGUCUUUUUGGUUAACCACAGUGUAUGGCCCGAAUAAGGCAGUGUGGAGGGAGGACUUUUGGUUGGAGCUUCAAGAUCUACAUGGUCUGACUUUCCCAAGGUGGUGUGUAGGAGAGGAUUUUAAUGUGAUCAGGAGGAUAUCUGAGAAGAUGGGUGAUUCUAGGCUAACAGUCAACAUGAGGCGCUUUGACGAGUUUAUAAGGGAAAGUGGUUUGUUGGACCCCCCUCUUAGGAAUGCGGCUUUUACAUGGUCAAACAUGCAAGUCGAUCCUAUUUGCAAGAGGUUAGAUAGGUUUUUGUUCUCUUCUGAGUGGGAUUCUUUUUUCUCUCAAAAUAUUCAAGAGGCCCUUCCUAGAUGGACCUCUGACCAUAGCCCAAUUUGCUUGGAAACUAAUCCUUUUAUGUGGGGGCCGACUCCUUUUAGGUUUGAGAAUAUGUGGUUGCUCCAUCCUGAGUUUAAAGAGAAGUUUAGAGAUUGGUGGCAAGAGUGUACGGUUGAAGGUUGGGAAGGUCACAAAUUUAUGAGGAAACUAAAGUUUAUUAAAUCAAAGUUGAAAGAGUGGAAUUCAAGGGUCUUUGGAGAUUUAAGAGAGAGGAAAAAGCAUAUUCUUACAGACUUAGGCAGAAUUGAUAGAAUUGAACAAGAAGGGAAUUUAAAUCUUGAGCUGGUUUCGGAAAGGAUCUUAAGAAGGAAGGAGUUAGAGGAUUUGUUAUUGAAGGAAGAGGUACAAUGGAGACAAAAAUCUAGGGUUAAGUGGAUUAAAGAAGGGGAUUGCAACUCUAAGUUUUUUCACAGAGUGGCCACUGGAAGAAGAAGCAGGAAGUUUAUAAAGUCUCUGAUUUCUGAGAGGGGGGAGACUUUAAAUAACAUUGAGGUUAUUUCUGAGGAGAUUGUAAAUUUCUUUGGGAAUCUUUAUUCCAAACCUGAAGGUGUUUCUUGGAAGAUUGAAGGGAUUGAUUGGGCCCCUAUUUCUGAAGAGAGUGCAAUUUGGUUGGAUAGGCCGUUUUCGGAAGAGGAGGUUCGAAUGGCAGUUUUCCAAUUGAAUAAGGAAAAGGCCCUUGGCCCUGAUGGCUUUACCUUAGCAGUUUAUCAAGAGUGUUGGGAUGUGAUAAAAGAGGAUCUCAUGAGGGUGUUUUUUGAGUUCCACACUAAAGGGGUAAUAAAUCAAAGCACAAAUGCGACUUUCAUUGCUAUGGUGCCUAAGAAAAGCCAAACAUUCAAAAUAUCAGAUUAUAGACCUAUUAGUUUGGUUACAAGUUUUUAUAAGAUAAUUGCUAAGGUCUUAUCAGGGCGUUUACGCAAAGUUCUUCAUGAAACAAUCUUUGGCUCGCAAGGAGCCUUUGUGGAAGGGAGACAAAUAUUGGAUGCUGUAUUGAUAGUCAAUGAAGUGGUGGAUGAGAAAAGAAGGUCAGGAGAGGAAGGGGUAGUUUUCAAAAUUGAUUUUGAGAAGGCCUAUGAUCAUGUGGAGUGGGGCUUUUUAGAUCAUGUGCUUCAAAGGAAGGGGUUCAGCCAGAAAUGGAGAUCUUGGAUGAGGGGUUGUUUAUCUUCUUCUAGUUUUGCUAUCCUAGUUAAUGGGAAUGCAAAGGGUUGGGUUAAGGCCUCUAGAGGAUUGAGACAGGGAGAUCCUCUUUCUCCUUUCCUUUUUACUCUAGUAGCAGAUGUUCUAAGUAGGUUGAUGAUUAGAGCUGAGGAAACUGGGAUAACUGAGGGUUUCCUUGUGGGGAGGGAUAGGACUAGAGUGUCCUUGUUACAGUUUGCUGAUGAUACCAUAUUUUUCUCUAAAGCCUCUUUGGAUCUUCUUAAAAACCUUAAGAUUAUCCUUUUGGUUUUUGGGCAAGUAUCUGGUUUAAAAAUCAACUUAGAAAAAAGCACCAUUUCAGGUAUUAACACUAGGCAGGAAGUGUUGUCUAGUUUGGCUUUGGUUUUGGAGUGCAGAGUGUCAGGGUGGCCUUUGUCUUAUUUAGGCCUUCCUUUAAGAGGGAACCCAAAGACAAUAGGAUUUUGGGAUCCAAUGGUUGAGAGAAUUUCGAGGAGGUUGGAUGGGUGGAAAAAUGCCUAUUUGUCUUUGGGAGGGAGGAUUACACUAAUUCAGUCUUGUCUGUCUCACAUCCCUAGCUACUUCCUUUCCCUCUUCAAAAUCCCUGUAUCUAUAGCUUCAAAGAUUGAGAAGAUGCAAAGGGAUUUUCUUUGGUCUGGGGCCGGGGAAGGGAAGAGAGAUCACCUAAUCAGAUGGGAGGUUGUCAGUAGACCAAGGGAGAUGAGAGGUUUGGGCUUUGGGAAGACUUCUAUGAGAAAUAGUGCCCUCUUAGGGAAAUGGCUUUGGAGGUUUCCUAGAGAAAGGAGCGGUCUUUGGCAUAAGGUUAUUGCGAGUAUAUAUGGGACGCAUCCUAAUGGAUGGGACGCCAACAUGGUGGUUAGAUGGUCUCAUAGAUGUCCUUGGAAGGCUAUUGCUCAAGUUUUCCAAGAGUUCUCCCCUUUUGUUCGCCUAGUGGUGGGCAAUGGGGAGAGAAUUCAGUUUUGGGAAGAUCUUUGGUGGGGAAACCAAACUUUGUAUGCUCAAUUUGCUGAACUCUACAGAGUUAUUUCUGUGAGAAACCUUACUGUCUCAAGCGUCCUUGGCAAUUCCUUUCCAUUGUCUUGGAAUUUUAACUUUCGCCGCAAUCUAACGGAUUCAGAAAUUGAUCUCCUUCAGAGAUUAAUGUCCUCUCUUCAUUUUGUGCUUCUUUCCCCUUCCUCAUCAGACUCAAGAGCGUGAUCUUUGUCUUCGUCAGGCUCGUUUUCAGUGAAAUCUUUUUUCUAUGCCUUGUCAAAAGAUUCAAAUCCUUUAAUGUUCCUUCCGGCCAAGUUUUUAUGGAGCUCAAAAGUCCCUUCAAAGGUUAAGGCCCUCGCUUGGUUAGUAGCACAUGGGAAGGUAAACACUAAUGACAAGUUGCAAUUGAGAAGACCCUACAAAGCCCUCUGUCCUCAAUGGUGCAUUCUUUGCAAAUGAAAUGGAGAGUCGAUUGACCACCUUUUUCUUCAUUGUCCCGUCACCAUUGGACUUUGGCACAGGUUGUUCAAUCUAGUAGGUGUGAUUUGGGUUCCUCCAAGGAGCAUUGAGGAUAUGUUGGUUAUUUCCUUUAAAGGCUUGGGGAACUCAGUAAGAGGCAAGUUUCUUUGGCAAAUUGCUUGCCUUACUUUGAUUUGGAUGGUGUGGCAAGAAAGGAAUAAUAGAAUCUUUGAGGAUAAAGGGAGAACGGAAGAGGUGGUUUGGGAUUUGAUUCGGUUUUACUCUUCUCUAUGGGCUUCUUGUACUGAAGCUUUUAGAGGAGUUCCUCUAAGCAUUCUACAAAUCAAUUGGAUUGGGGUUUGCGUUUCAAGAGUUUGAAGUUUGUUGGGUUUUUUGUUUUUAGUUUUCUUUUGUUGGGUGUUUUCCUUGGCUCUUGUGUAGGAAGGACUUCUCAUCCUUCCCUUGGUUUUUUUCUCUUUCUUUUGUCUCUUUUUUCUCUUCUGUAUUUGUUCUUUUAUUAAUAUAAUCUUUUUCGUUUCUGAUCAAAAAAAAAAAAAAAAAAAAAAAGCUUCCUGCAAAACUGGUACAAAGUCCUGAAGAUUAAAUUAAGGAGGACUUAUAUACUUUUCCAGGUGACCAGGGUAAUGUUUUAGUUGAGCUGACCAACAUGCUCUUGAGUAGAAAUCAGUGGAACAGUCAUAAAAUCAGAGGAAAAUAGAGUGGUCACAACAGAAGUGAAAAAUUUUGAUUAGUUAUUGAUUAAGUGCAUCUCUUCUGGAUUGUCAUACUAUUUUGUGGAUGCUAGGGGUAGGGAUUAGUAUUUGAACUCUCGUUUAGGGUAAUAGCAUUUUCUUGAAUGCCUUGUUGUGUGAGAUCCUAAGUUUAAACCUUAGGUUAUUUUUGGUUUGGUUCGUAAACUUUAUAAACACUCAAUUUACACUAAAUAUGCAUCAUUUUUUCCCCUGUUUUUAAAAAUUUCAGAGAACAGCAGCAGGUAGCAAGUUUUGGCACAGGAGAAAGCAUUCUGUUGAGAUUAAUACUGAUUUACUUCAAGUUGAGUUAGAUCAGAAUGCUGCUCCACCAGUGGAAGAUACUGAUCUCAAUUCAGUCCCAGAUCCUGCUGGUUCCCCUUCUGGUUCAAAUCAAGCACAAGAUGCAGUUCAAGUUCAGCAAAAUGUGAGGGAAGAGUGGGCUGCAACAUACAUCCAAACAGCUUUUCGAGGAUUUUUGGUACUGAAGUGCUAAGCAUAACUUUUUAUCUUUUUCCUGAUUACCUUCUAAAAUGUCUCUUUAGUUGAAAGAUGAAUUGGGAUCUGGAGCUGAAGGCCCCUACCCCAAAUAGUUGGGAUUAAGGCUGUGCUGAGUUGUGUCUGGAUCUUGGCCCCUUCUAAAUGUCCAACUGUUGCAGUUGUAUCUUGCUCACUUUAUUUUCCCUGUCCAUAUACUGAAGGACUAUUUGAACCUUCUUUGAUUGUUUGGUUUGGCUUAGGAAAAUUCUGAGAAGGCUAGUCUGUUGGUCUUGGGCUGCAGGCACUUGGGUGGAUGAGGAAGUUUGACAUAAACUUAUAUGCAUGAUUUGAUACACUGCUUAUAUACAUGGGCCAUUGCUAUGGUUAUUAUAAUCCAAGUGUUCCACAAUAACUAUUUGAACUGGACAACUGUCUUCCACUUGGAGCACAAAAUUUUAAUAUUAUAUUUAAUAAAUUUUCCUUUUUCUUCCAUUCCUUUGCAGUGUUCAGUACCUUACUUCACACUAACUUAUAUCUUUUCAUUGGCAUGAUGUUAGACUGUUCUUAAAUAGAAUUUGGGUCUCUUCUAAUCAAUUAAGUAGAAAGAGAGAGUAAGGUUUUUCAGGGUGUGUUUAAUUUUAUAAUUUAGCUGUGUUUGAUUGUCAAAAGUCAUAAAGAAUGGCAACAGAUACUUGGAAUCCUAUAACAGUUCCACUGGAGUGGCUGUCUUAACAUAGAGAAUUUCUUUUUCUUUUCCUGUGGUUUCUUAGCAAUAAAAUGGUGUAAUAGGUUUUAUAACUGAACAGAGAGAAGUAGAAAAUUUUCUAAUAUUGGAGCUAUGAAUUGUUUUUUGUAUAUUCCCAUGUGGUAUUUUACUAGUAUAGGUUUAUUUAGUACUUUGAAUGCUCCAAGCAUACUUUGUAAUUAGUUCAUUGUAUUUUUGGGAGGAUUCCUCAUCCUUCUUUUAUAUUUCUUUAUUCUUAAUUUAAUACAUUUUCUGUUUCUAAUUAAAAAAAAAAAAACAAAAACGAGAAGUAGAAACUUUUUAGAACUAAAAAUAGAGAGAAGAAAGGAACACGUUAUGAGUUCUACUAUAGGGUUAGAAGGAAUCCACACUUGUUCUUCUGAUGAACCCUCAAACAAUUUAAAACAUAGUUUUACUGUUCAAAAAUUUUUAUAUUUAGUUGCAUCUACAUUCUAGUCAUCAUAUCGGCUCAUGUUAUAGCCAUCCAAGUAAUAUUUCUGACUUUAAAAUAUAAGCUUAGUAUCCAAAAUUUGCUAUACUCUGUUCUGUCAUCAUUUUAAUUAUUCCAUGGGCUUACUUUUAACACCCAACAAAUUUGGACUCAUCAAGAACCACAUGCUAAUCUGAAUUUCUGAGUAAAAAAACAUGAGCUCAUUACCACAAAAGGAGGCCCUAUGGACUUUGGCUGAGACUAAGUUCCUAGUCAGCUUGAUUUAGCUCAACACAACCUUAAACUGUCAUGCUUUAUCCUGCCUUAGCCCAAUUCUCUAGUUUUAUGUUUUUCACUGUGCCCAACUGUUUUGGUCCUUUUUCUUUUCUUAUAGGGGAUAUAUUCUAUUAAAUUGGAAGCUAAGGCCUAGUCCAACUGAUACUAGGAUCCAAGCCGGAAAAUAGCUUGAUUGGAGGUUACCAGACUAGUACAAUUCCCAACUAUGGUUCCAUAUUUAAUACAAUUUUUUGUUUCUGAUCAAAAAAAGAAACAAAAAAAAACUAUUGCCAAUUAUAGUCAAACUGUAGAGCUAGAAAAGCAUUCCUGUAACCGAACUUACACUAGGACAAUAUUAAAUUAAUGAAUACCCAAAAAUUUAGCAGUCCUGUUUAUGUUGGAUAUCAAGGCCAGUUUCUGAGAUGUAGACCUUGAUGCAUUUGGUGAGGAAACUAUCAAAAGGUAUUUUUUAAACUAAAUAAUAUUCUGCAGAGAUACUUUUGGUGCUGUCUGGAAUCCUUGACUGGAUGAACUGAAUUUAAACUUGAUGUUUCUAUUGUUUCUGUUGUUUUGUAAACAGUCACCUGUGCAGUCACAUGAUUUUAUUCUGGAGACCAUGUGUAAAAUUGAACUUCAGCACAACCCUCAGGGUUUGUUUAAUUUUGUCCAACCAAAGUUUGAUGGUCCGACUUUGGAUGGCCAGAACUGGUUGUAUGCAAAACAGGUCCUUGAAAUAUAGUGACCAAAAUUACAAUUUAUUUAGAAAUAGAGAUUAUGUGUUAUGGUCUGCAUGGGUAUCUGUUCUAUUUUCAUAAUGCAUUUAAUACACUGGGAACACAGGCAUACCAUACACUUCUAUCUAAUGUGCUCAAUGUCCAAUAACAAUAAUGGGAUUUUUUUCAGUAAAUGGGAAACCAAAAAUGUUCCAGGGUGGAAAUGAGGGAAUGCCUACAAUACCUGGGUUUAAUUAGAUACAAUUUGAAGGAUUUUGUAGGUUUAUUGAUCAGGGCUUGACAGCACUGGGAGCACUGGCAUACCAUAUACUUCUAUCUAAUGUGCUCUAUUGACCAUUGAUCAGGCUAGAAGAGCUCUACGCGCUUUGAAAGGGUUGGUAAGACUUCAAGCCCUCGUUAGGGGCCAUGCUGUGCGAAAGCAAGCUGCAAUAACUCUACGCUGCAUGCAAGCUUUAGUGAGAGUUCAAGCUCGUGUCCGUGCAAGACGUGUUCGCUUGGCAUUGGAAAGUCAAACAGCACAACAAAAACUUCAACUGCAACUAGCAAAUGAGGCUCGUGUUCGAGAAAUUGAGGUAAGCAACCCUAGAUCCUAAUUUGGUAGGACCUUGUCUGUUGUGGUGAUAAUUUUUCUUAUACAUUAUAUUUUCCUUUUUGAACUGAAAUGCCCCACAUACCCACCCCAAGGACUUGCCACUUGAGCUAGGCCUCAAGGGCUUUUUCUAUUGUACCAGAACUGUAUCACAUGUUCAGAUGCUGUCCAUCUUGUUGUUGAACUUAGUGAAUGUGAGGAUCUAAUUUAAAUUUUCAGUAGAGAAAAUUGCACCUGGCCAUUGCUUGGCUGCUUUUUGGGCUUUAAAGCAUUGUGCAAGAGUCCUCGUCUAUGCCACCACUUCAUGAAAAAUCUCAUUCCUAUUAAUUUAAAGACAAUCCCAAGAAAUCACAUGACAAAAAGAAACCAACAACUUUUCCUGGAAAAUUAGACUUAGUUUAGAAUCUCGAUCAUUACAUUUUAUAUCUCUAAAUUCAACAGCGAUCUAAUGCAGCCCUAGAUCUCGAUCCUUAAACUUUUCUUAGUCCCGAGAGCCCUUCAAAAUGUUCUUUAAGGUUUCAUGGACUUGGGGAUAUAGGUUCCCCAACAACCACUCUAUAUAAAAGAACAUAUUUCUUUGAAAACUGUUAUGGCAUGCAAAAGAUUUUGGGAGACUAAGGCUGGAAUUUUAUAUGAGAAUGAAAGAGUGCUGUCAAUGAAUAGACAAAAGUUCUUUAGUUAUCUUCCUUAUGGCCUUUAUAGAGUAUGAAAGAGAAUCUCAAAAGCCUUAGUCUUGUUAGAAAUCUAUCCUGAUCCAAUCAAGAUUCUAAAAGACUUUAUCAAUAUUAGGAUUUUUAGAACAUUUUUUAUAAUUAGGCUAAAAGCCAUAAUAAGACUUAUUUGAGACUUAAAUUUAAAUAUAUGACUUGUUCUCUAAGUGAGAACAAAUUUUCAAACUUCCAAAUUAAAAAAUCGCAAAGAAACUUACUUCUACACAAUAAAUUAAUAAUUGAUCUAGUUUAUGUAUAAACAAGUUUCUAGGUUCUCUCAUGUGCAUCUCAUAUGAAAACACCAUUUUUAGCCACCUCCGAUGAUUAGGCAAAGGGGGCUCCUUGGAGAAUCACCAUCUAUCCUAUGGGCCUGUUUGGAUACAUUUUUAAAAAGUAUUUCUCAACAAUCAAUUUUGAGAAUAGUUUUGAGAAAUAGUUCUAUAUUGUUUUUAGGAAUAAAAUUCUAUUUAGGAACUCAAUUCUGAAAGCCAACCUUACCCUGUGUUUAAAAGUAAGACAACAUGAGAAAUUUGUUGUCAGAACAGCUUUAUCAUCCGCGUUUCCUUAGUUCUUAGAGCAGUCUACAAAAAGCAAGUGAAAACAUCUUAAUCUAUUUUAAAAAUUUGCCCUAUUUUGAGAAAAAGCUUUGUCAAGAAUGUUUUUGAAGCUUAAAGAAUUAUUUUAUUAAUAAGAUACUUGUUAGGCAAGAUAUGCAAUGAAAACACAAUAAACUAUUUUAUUAAUUAAAUAAAAAGUCAAUAAAGUGGCUUUCAGGGCAUACAAUCCCAACAUGGUAUGUUACCAGUUCAACUUCCCAUAGGCUUCUAGGUUUUGCACUUGCUAAUGGCUAGCUCACAUGAGUUUUGGGGUUCACAUCCAUGGCUAGAUUGUUUUUGGCUUUGGGCUGUAACAUAAUUAUCCAAGAUUUUACAUUCAUACUGCAAUAAGUUAUUGAACCACUAUACCUGAUUUGCAAAUGCUUUAUUCAAAGCAUGUGUCUCACUUGCAUUAGAUUUAUGUUGGGUUUUAUAGCUUUGCGUUCCCUUUUUUCUAUGUUGGCCAUUUUUUCUCACCCCUCUGCCUUCUUUGUGUAUUUCUUUACUGUAGUUUUCCUCCAUAAGCUAUUUUACUGCACUGCAAACCUUUGAAACAUGUUGUAAGCAGCAUUUUUAUUAAGUAAAGACAGACUUUUAAGCCCUUCUAUAUGCAGGGAGGCACUUCAAACCCCACUAUAAAGAGACAUUUCUUCUCUUCAUCUAGGUCACCCAAAGGAGGUUUCUUUACAUUUCUUGAAGUCUUUUAUGCACUGAUAUUGGGUUGUUGAAGGUGGAAACAAAGUGCACUAUUGGACUUGAUAGAAUGCUUUUAGUAAGCAUCAACCUUCCCAUUUAGACAAAUUUUGUUUCCACCCCAUCAAAUCUGCUCUCAAGGAAAUGGAAUUCCUUACCACAUUGCUCCAUGGGAUGCCUGUAGUGUAAAACCCUAGUAGUUGGUGAGCGAGCUCCUUGAUUUCACGCCUAGGCAAACCAUCAAACUUCCUCCACUGACCCAACUCAAGUUGGCUUACUCUUAUUAUUUAUUUUCAACCAUAAGACACCUCAAAGCAAGGGAUGACUUAUCUGAGAUACUUUUUGGUCUACCUAUGCCCCACCAUGGAGAAAUUUAUUAUUGGUCUGCAUAGAUCUCUAUUAGAAGAUGGUCUUUCAUAUCUUUUACUUUUACAUUUUUUGCCUUUUGGGAUCUAUGAAACUCCUUACUCCCUUUUUGACACAUCUAAAUGAAUUUCUACCUAGUGAAACAAGAUGUGAUUGGUAGUUGUUAGUAGUGUAGAGCUCUAAAUUGAUGAUCCUGGACAUAGCUAAAACCAAAUGUUUGGGAUCUUGUGGUAGAAAUAAAAUGAUAGAACCUGAUUGCAAUUUCUAAAGAGACCAUCUAGAUUCGUAUUUCCAUAUAAUUCCCAGUAGUGCUCUCAUAGCAUUUCCAAAGUUGUUCCAUCUGUUGUGAGGAGAAUGGGGUCCUGAAAUGCAUUUGUUACAAAAUUAUUGGAUGAAAUUAUAUUCUUUAGUAUUACAGUAAGUGUAUCCAUGACUAAUAUGUAAAAUAAGUGGAAUUUGAAAUAUUACCCCAUGCUCAUUCUUAAUUUUCUGAUUAGUUUCAGUUAGGAAAUUCAUGUGGCUUGUGACUGAUGCAGGAAGGGUGGUGCGAUAGUGUAGGAUCUGUUGAAGAUAUUCAAGCCAAAUUGCUAAAAAGGCAGGAGGCAGCAGCUAAGCGAGAGAGAGCCAUGGCCUAUGCUCUGGCUCAUCAGGUAAAAAUAUGAUAAAGCCCCUUGAAUAUGAAGUCACUUGCAUAUGAACCAUGUUAUACCUUUAGAAAGCUGAGUUAAAGUAGGGAAAUUAAUAACAAACAAGAAAGUACAUGUUCAAUCCUGUACAUCUAAACCUAGUCAUGGAUUGCUUUUGAGAACUUCUGUUCCAGCUUAGCAUUCUGAACCGGAAUGAUAUUUUAGAGUUUUUAAUGGAUUAAAAUCUAUAGAUUGAUGCAAUUUCCUUUUAGCUUCUGUUCAUUCUUGAUUGUGGGGUUUAAGCAAUUUUACUAAAAAAUUCACCUGCCACCUAUGUUUAAAGCUGACAGUGAAUGCUUUACUUUUAUGCUGGAUCUGUAAUAUGUUGUAUAAUUAUUAUAUCCCAUGUCAUAAACCAUAAAUGAUAAGGUAUGUCUUUUUUAUUCAGAGAUCCAAAGGUAAUGACUUUGAUAGGCCGGAUGAAUAUUUCUAGGUUAUGGGUAAUCAGAAAUGGGUGAGUGCAACUUUUUUCGGCUGUCCAGAUGUAACAGGUUACUAGCUUUUUAUUAUUUUAUUAUUGUUUUUUAAGACCAGGCAAUGGGAGUUUUUGAAAAAACUUUUCAUUCUCAAGGAACCCAAUCAUUAAGAUUUCACCUUAUGACUUUACGCAACUUAUAUUCUCAAGUUUCACAUGUCAAUAUUGUAUUAUUUAUCUUUCCAUAGAUAAUGGAGUAUUGUGCUUCUUGUAUUGAUUUGUAGGAAAGAGGCUCAAUAUCUUUAGAAAAUCUACAAGAUUUUAUAGAAAAUUAAGAAAUGCUAAAAGUAACAUGAAAAAUAAGUAAAUAAAAAAUGAAAAUCAUUUUUCAAAUAAGUACAAACUGACUUGGGUAGUGGAUGCAAUCUUUGGAAAAUAAAAUUAUGUGAAAUAUCAUGGCAAACAUGCAUACAAGAAAGAAUUCAAACAUUAGUUUCCAAAAGGAAAAUCAGAGGCCAUGCAAAAGUUAUGGGUAUCAUUGUGAUGCCUUUUAUCAUUUGUAAGGAUAUAACAUAUCAUCUCAACAUGUAACUUUAUUAUCAGAAAUGCUGUAGAAUUCUUUAAUGCUAAUUUGCAGAUGUUACAUUAUAUCAUUAAUUCUAAAAUUUAGUCCACCCAUGAAUUCUGAAUCUAAUAAAUAUGCAUCUUGAUUCGUUGUACUGUGAUAGCAUGCUAUCUCCAUUAUAUUACAGAUAAACAUAGAAUUUUUCAGUUGUAUCAGUAGCACAUUUCCUGCAAGAGACAUCUGUGGCCGCUAUAUAUCCUUGACAACAUGGUAGUAUGUUGGUACAUUUUGAAUAAUGCUGAGAACCUCCUGCGAGAGGGCUUAGCAUUUUCUGAGUUAUUCUCUAAUAUUGCAUCUUUUAUAGGUUUGGGUUUUGUGUUUGGACAUUGUUGGAAAUAUUUACUGAAAUUGUUGGGUAAAUCCAAAUUCCUGUGUAGGAGCCUUUUUGUGGAUAUUGAUUUCUCACUAGGGUCUUAUAAUCUGCCCUAGAUUAUGUCUUUCAGUUUUCCCCCUUGUAGGCCUGUGUAAGAUCAUUUCUGUUCCUGCAGUGGCAGGCGGGAUCAAGGCAGCAGGCUGCUCCCUCUGAGUUUGAACCAGAUAAAAGCAACUGGGGUUGGAACUGGUUGGAAAGAUGGAUGGCUGUUCGUCCAUGGGAGAAUCGGUUUCUUGACAUAAAUCUGAGAGAUGGAGUGAUGAUUCGUGAGAAUGGUUCAACUGAGGGAAAGAAUGGCUCCAAGACCCAGUCAAAAUCUGCUGGAAAGAAACCCAUUUCUUUAAAUCUCUCAAAUCAGAAAAUGGGUCCAUCUAAUUCUGAUGGGGGUAGUUCUUCUCCCACUAAAUCAGCAAUGUUUCAAGAGGCAUCCAGCACGGUUUCAGCCAAGCCAAAGUCUAAGCCAAUUCUUGAAGAUCUGGCUGAAGAAGCCAACUCUAGACCUGGUGUUGGGUCUAGAUCCCACAGCAAUCCAAAAGAGAGAUCCACACUACAAGAUAAACAGGCAAAGAAGCGGUUGUCUCUGCCCAACAGCGGUGAGACUCUCUCUCUCUAUAUCUAUCUAUCUAUCUAUAUCUAUAUCUAUAUCUAUAUCUAUAUAUCUAUUUUGAAAGGACUGCUCUGCACAAAGAAGCCUAUGCUCCCAUUUUCUUGUUCAUUGCCAGUUAUAAUUGUGACCUUUUCCCACUACAAGAAAUAUAUGUGCCUGGCUCAACCUUUUGGACAUUUGGAAACCAUUAAAUGAUAUGCAGGAAACUUUCUCCAAUAUGUAAUUGGAUAGUAGUAUAUGCUUUUACAAACUAGAUACUAGUAUCUGUUUCUUUUUUUUUUUUUUGGAUUUCAUUACCAUUAAUAAACAACACUGAUGUGUAUGGUCACUGUCCUAUUUGUAGAUUAGUUGGUUUAUUUAUUUAUAAAUACUUUUAAUGCAUAUAAUUGGUACUUUUCUCUGCUUUAUAUUUAUUUAGGUGUUGAUUUGGUUUGAUCAGGGAUAGGUUCUGGGGCUCAAGCAACCAGGCAGCAAAGUAGAAGUGUGUUAAAAAAAGCAGCAAGUGCACAGAAGCCGAUAAAGGAUAAUUCCAAGGUGAACAUAAAGGGGGACUUGGAGACUACAAAAUCUACAUCGGUCAGUGAUCUCUAGUUUUAUGUUUCUCUGGGUGGUUACUGCAUCAGGUUGUACAUAUAGAGAGAGAGAGGGAGGGAGGGGCCGAUGCAGCACCAUUUUGUCUUUUCUUGUCAUAGAACAUGUUGAAAGGAGAUAGUAACCAUACUGCUGCUUUAGUUGCUAUCAUAAUAUUCGUAAGGUGGGUUGGGUUGGGUUGUCUAGGAAAUAAGAUUUGGGUCUGUUGUAAUCAUUUAAUUAUUGGCAUCUCAGGUGUAUGUGAUUUUAUGGGUGUUUAUUUUUGGAGUGGAAUUGGAUGAUUUUUCAGAGCGCCUCACGUUCAUGCUAUUGUCUCUUCAGCUCUUCUAUCUCUGUUUGUUGAAGAUAGUGGCAACUUGUGAUUUCAUGAAAGAAAGACUAGAAAAACAUGUAGACUAGUGAUUCUGUUUAUUUGUUGGGAUCUGAACACGUAGACAAGAGUUGGUAUGCAAAUUUCAGUUUUUGUUUCUCUUCGCCUCCAAUGAAAUGUUUCAGGUUUCCAUUCCACACUUAUCAUGGUCUUAAGUUAAUGAUUUCGAUCUUGCCCGAGUUUGUUUGUAUUUUCCUAAAUCUCGGGAUUUCUGCAAACUAUUUUUUUUAUUUUUUAUUCUUCAGUAUUUCGAAUUUAUUUGUGCUUUUAGGGAUUUUUCUGAAUUUAUUUUUAUAUAUGCACAUACACGCAUACAAUAAUUGGAAAAAAAAAAUGAAAAACUGUUAGGUUGAAAUUGAUUUUUUUUUCCUUUAAAAAAUACUUUCUUCUCAUAAAUCAGUCAGUGUCAAGGAAAGUUGUUCUAACCACCAUAACAAUACAUGAAUGAAUUGAGCAAAUUAAAAAACUAUUUAAGCAAAAGAGACUAAUACCUGAAUAAUCAAAGUCUGAGUGAUGCUCAAGGAAUGUUUGAAGAAGAAGAUGCCUCAUAUUGUGAGAGUCGUGCAGUAGAAAUUUUUAAUAUGUUCCAAAACCCUAAUCAUUUAUUGGAAAGAAAAUCGCAGUUUUAGUAUAUAUGGGAAUAUCAUUUUAAAAUGAUUAAAAUUAGGGAAGCAAUAAUGAAAAUAGAAAGAGGGAUAUAACAUAAUUAGAAUAAGCCAAACUCUAUUUUAAAGACUUUUAAUGCAUCCAAAAUGCAAACACUUUGCACGUUGCAAAUCAAUUGGAAUAAUUUUGUGAAUACUAAUAUGUAUACAAAAAUCUAAAGGAUUUUGAAAUAAAAAAUAAAAAAUUUACACAUUAAAAAUGAUGUACAGUGAAUCAUGACAUAAUGCUAUUGAAUGUCAUAAUUUACCAAGCUAUUAUACUGUAUGGACUUUCAAUCUUGAUGGAAUAUUUAGUUUGUGCUAAAGUUAAUAGGAGGUUUUAACCUAUAAGUGAAAUCAUAAAGUGGUUAAAUAUUUUUAUGAAUUAGGUUACUAUUGAUGUAGGUUGGUGGUAAUAGGUAUUCUCAAUAGAGGCAUCUUAAUAUCUCAUAAGAUUAAGACAGUGUAUCCUAUGGGUGAUCCAAAUGACAUGUAAUCUAAAAUACUAUGACCAUAAUAUUUCUGAUAAAACAAAGGCUAUGAAUAAUUAAGGAAAAUACCCAAAAGGGGGGGUGAAUUGGGUUUUUCAAAAUCUUUUUCCACACAACAAUAUAUGCACAAAAUAAAUAAAGGAAAGAGAUAAAGGUAGAGAAUUCAAACUCAAAUUUAUAGUGGUUCGGCACUCCCUUGCCUACGUCCACUCUCCUCAAUCUCCUAACCGAGUGAGGGUUCCACUAGCUUGAAGCUACAAUCAAGCUUUCAAUCGUCUUACACUUGGAUUCCGGCUCCAAUGAGCUCUUACACAAUCUCUUCAAGAUUUGAACCACUUGAAGGCUUUCACACUCAGUUUACACAAGGAUGAAACACUCAACCUAGCUUAAUGAAGGCUCAAGUACAAGAGAAGGCUAGGAUGAAUUGCAAGAGUGCACUAAGAAUAUGCAAUUGAUGGUUUUAAUGCACUAAGAAGGAAGAUGAGAGCUUUUUAGAUCAAGAACAGGUAGGUAGGCUUUGAAUGCAAUUGUUCUCUUAGUCAUAAAUGAAGAGGAGCUCUCAAUAUAUAGGUUUCUAAGCUCGGGAGACAAAAACAGCAGAAAGUAGCCUCGACCGGACGAGAGCAAAGGGUUGACCGGAUCACUAGCCGUUGGAGCAUUUAUUGCAUAGCAGGUUACCGUUGCCUCGACCGGACCUCGACCGGACCUCGACCGGACAAAGGGUGAGGCUCGACCGGGAAGAGGAAGCUACUGGGAGAGAGAGAAAGUUUUUGUGUCUCCCUCGACCGGACCUCGACCGGACAAGGGAAACCGGUCGACCGGUUCCCCAACCGGUUGAGCCGGUUGGCCAUAGCCUCGACCGGAUGAGCCUUUUGGCCCUGAAAACCUAUCCUUUUUUAUUUCUUUCUUUUCCAAUACUUAGGCAAGGUCUUUAGGAGAGUUAAUAUGUCAAUUUUGAGUCAAUUUGCCUAAGGUAUAUUUGAUAAAACUCGGGUUUUACAGAAAAUCAAGUUUUAAAGAAUAAACCGAGUUUUCUAAGAUGCAUGAAAAUGUAUGAACAUCCUAAGUGCACUCAUGCUAUCAUCUUACAUUCAUUUCCUAUGAUCACAAGUCUUCCAAAUGGUCUUUAUCCCGUAUUCGUUUGGUCCUUGAGAUUGUACCUGAGAUUCUUAACAAUUUAAAGCAAUUAGUCACUUAACCACGGUUUGUUAUCAUCAAAACCUGAUUAGGAGAACCCUUGGGCUAACAAUCUCCCCCUUUUUGAUGAUGACAAACCUUGGUUAUCUAGGAGACAGAGAAAUCUCCCCCUCAAAUCAACCAUGGGAUAAUCAACACAAAAUUUAGGAAAUUUAAAGCGAGAAGACAAUGUAAAUCAAUAACAGUGUCAUAUCAUAUAUAAGCAAGAGCAAGAGUACAUGAAAGCGUAUGAUAUGCAUGGAAAUGAAAAAGUCUCCUAAGGUCCCUAUCCUAACAUAUAUAUCUCCCCCUUUGGCAACAUAAAAAAGAAACGAAGGGGGAUCCCAAACAAAAUCAAGGCUGAAGAGGUGGUGNNNNNNNNNNNNNNNNNNNNNNNNNNNNNNNNNNNNNNNNNNNNNNNNNNNNNNNNNNNNNNNNNNNNNNNNNNNNNNNNNNNNNNNNNNNNNNNNNNNNAGCCUUUUGGCCUUGAAAACCUAUCCUUUUUGAUUUCUUUCUUUUCCAAUACUUAGGCAAGGUCUUUAGGAGAGUUAAUAUGUCAAUUUUGAGUCAAUUUGCCUAAGGUAUAUUUGAUAAAACUCGGGUUUUAAAGAAAAUCAAGUUUUAAAGAAUAAACCGAGUUUUCUAAGAUGCAUGAAAAUGUAUGAACAUCCUAAGUGCACUCAUGCUAUCAUCUUACAUUCAUUUCCUAUGAUCACAAGUCUUCCAAAUGGUCUUUACCACGUAUUCGUUUGGUCCUUGAGAUUAUACCUGAGAUUCUUAACAAUUUAAAGCAAUUAGUCACUUAACCACGGUUUGUUAUCAUCAAAACCUGAUUAGGAGAACCCUUGGGCUAACAAUCUCCCCCUUUUUUAUGAUGACAAACCUUGGUUAUCUAGGAGACAGAGAAAUCUCCCCCUCAAAUCAACCAUGGGAUAAUCAACACAAAAUUUAGGAAAUUUAAAGCGAGAAGACAAUGUAAAUCAAUAACAGUGUCAUAUCAUAUAUAAGCAAGAGCAAGAGUACAUGAAAGCGUAUGAUAUGCAUGGAAAUGAAAAAGUCUCCUAAGGUCCCUAUCCUAACAUAUAUAUCUCCCCCUUUGGCAACAUAAAAAAGAAACGAAGGGGGAUCCCAAACAAAAUCAAGGCUGAGGAGGUGGUGGUGGAAACACAGAACGGAGGUAAGCCAUCAUCUCCUCGUGCUGACUCUCCUGGCGGCUCUCAAGACGCUCCUGGCGGCUCUCAAGAAGCUCAAUCCUCUGUGCAAGCUGCUCAAACUGAGAGGUGAAGCCGGCCUGAUACUGAUCGAUGCGAUCUUCCACGGAAUAAAAGCGAGUAUCAUGAACAACAGCUAACUCCUCCAUACGAGUCCCGAGAGAGCUAAUCUGUGCCGACAAAUCCAUCCAAGGUGGAUGCUCAGGAGCAUGAGGAGCCUAAGAUGGUGGCUCGGUAAAUGAUGGCUCAGUCAUCAUAGGCUCUGAGAAGGUAGCCUCAACAUGAAUGCCCCCCGACUGGUGUGGAGCCGGAAUGUCAAGCUCUGGCCCUCUCUGCUCAAGGUCCCUCUGAGGGUCCAACCCAUCCUCCAUCUCUCUAAUCUCGUCCUCCUCCUCUACUCCGGGGUGUAGCUGAUCAUGUCCCCGGGCCUGUCGCUCGGCUUUCCUAACCCAAGAGCCGUCGGGGGCCUUCUCAAGCUUCAUGCGCCCCAGAGAAUGCUCGUCAUAAGUGUCAUAGAUGCUAGGUGCCUCAAACUCUGUCUCUCUACUCAAGUCUACCCCAGCAUCCUUGAAGACACGAGUGAGGAAGCGGCCGUAGGAAAGCACUCGUGUGGUGCUCUCACAACAGGACAUCAUAUGCCGCAUCAUCACAUAACCUACAUGUAUCCGCCUCCUAGUGAGAAGUGAGUCGACAAGAAAGGCCUCAUAGUAGGAGACCUCGUCCCGAUGUCCACCCCGUGGUAAUAGGAUGGAGCAGAUCAUAUGAUGAAGGACUCUGCUAGGCACGGUCAGGCUAUGUGCUGAAGGUUUGCCCAUCCCAUGGGCAUCUGCAAGUCCGCACAGCCUCUGAAUGGCCUCUCUUGGCUCGAACCCGGGGAUAGUAGGCCAUGCCUUGGCCUCAUAUACUCGAAGACCAACGGGGGGAACAUCAAGGAUGCGACAAAUGCUCUCCGGACUCAGCUCAAUCUCAACUCCUCGGACAGUAGUCCUAAUCGGCCCUCCAAGUCCAUAGGUUAUCCUGGAGUAGAAUGCACGCACUAAGGUCGGAAAGAUAGGCUCAUAGACCGUCACAACUGGCAACCAUCCCAUCCUGGUGAAGAGUCCCUCAAACCCGAGACUCUGAAGUUGGAAGAAAUUGAUGUUUCUCCCUGGAACCACCUUUCUCUUGGCAAAAUGCGUCUUGUACCUCUGAUAAUCCUCAACUGAGCCGAAGAGGGCGGUGUCAUACCUCGCCUUUCGGCGAGCCUCGGUCUGCUCGGGCUGCUGAGAGGGCUCAGCAGGGCGCUUGCCCUGACCUCUGGAAGUACCCGUCUCCUUUCGAGGAGCCAUCCAAAAUCCAAAAAUGGAGAUAUGUACUGAAGCGAGUAGGCAAAGACAGAAGACUAACCCCAAGAAGCCCUAGGCACGCGGGAAAGGAGCAAAACCAGAAGAUGGCGUGCAAACAGAGAGGAACCCGUCAAGAUCCGAAGUCCAAAUCCGUCCAGAGAUGAAACCCUAGCCUCAAAUCUCGUCAAAGAACACUCCAAAACCUGAAAUCGGUCCAAGGAAUAGCCCAAACUGAUCUCUGAAGGCGGGAAGAUGAAGGGUCUUUGAGGAAUGCCAGAGAACAGUGAAAAAAACUGACGCGCGAGAGCCUUUUAAACUCCUAGCCCCGACGAACCGGUCGACCGGUUCCUCAACCGGUCGACCGCCUGGUCAACGGUCAACGGUUUCAUUUUCCAAUUUUUUUGCGUAUUCUUGUCUCGUGAUCCUCCCCCUGCUCUUUUCAGUUGAAAUCCCCAAUUUUUUAUGUCCAAUGCCACGGGAAUUUUGAUUUUUGGUCAAAAAUUGACCUAUUUUCUAAGGGAUUGCUAUAUGAUGCGUAUGAGAUGAAAUUUAUGCAAUCAUAAUGCAUUUCCAACAAGAAUUCAUUAUACAAACAUCAGAUCAAAGAGAAAUGACCCCUAGUUGUCUUCUAAUAUCGGAAAAUUGUUCUUCACUUAGAGGUUUUGUAAAAAUAUCGGCAAGUUGAUCUUUUGUGCUUACAAAUUCAAGUGUAAUGUCACCUUUUUGUGCAUGAUCUCUAAGAAAAUGAUGUCUAAUUUCUAUAUGCUUGGUCCUAAAGUGUUGCACGGGAUUUUUUGAAAUAUUUAUGGCACUAGUGUUAUCACAUUUGAUAGGAACAUGCUCAAAAGAUAAGUUAAAAUCACUAAGUGUUUGUUUCAUCCAAAGGAUUUGAGCACAACACAAACCGGCUGCUAUGUAUUCGGCUUCCGCCGUUGACAAAGCUACCGAAUUUUGCUUCUUACUAUGCCAUGAGACAAGUGAGUGUCCUAAGAAAUGACAAGUGCCACUAGUGCUUUUUCUUUCAACUCUACAACCGGCAAAAUCGGCAUCCGAGAACCCAAUCAAUUCAAAAUUAUCACUCUUAGGAUACCACAAACCAAUAUUCAUUGUCCCUUUCAAAUAUCUAAGAAUUCUUUUAACGGCACUUAAGUGAGAUUCUUUAGGACAAGAUUGAAAUCUAGCACACAAGCAUACACUAUACAUGAUAUCGGGUCUACUAGCGGUCAAAUAAAGCAAGGAUCCUAUCAUGCCUCUAUACAUAGUUGAGUCAAUAGAUUUACCUUUUUCAUCCAUGUCAAGCUUGAUGGAUGAGCUCAUUGGAGUUUUCAUCACCUUGGCUUCUUCCAUGUUGAACCUCUUGAGAAGAUCCUUUAUAUACUUUGCUUGAUUGAUGAAGGUUCCUUCCUUUAGUUGCUUGAUUUGAAGUCCAAGGAAGUAAUUGAGUUCCCCCAUCAUGCUCAUUUCAAACUCACUAUGCAUACACUUAGAGAAAUCUUCACAAAGAGAGUCAUUAGUAGCUCCAAAAAUAAUAUCAUCAACAUAUAUUUGAACUAGAAGCAUAUCCUUUUCUUUGGUUUUAAUGAAAAGAGUUGUGUCGAUUUUUCCCAUUUUAAAACCCUUUUUCAAAAGAAAUUUACUUAGUCUUUCAUACCAAGCUCUAGGUGCUUGUUUCAAACCAUAAAGUGCCUUUUUAAGUUUAAAAAUAUGGUUUGGAAAGUUGAAGCUUUGAAAACCGGGUGGUUGUUCAACAUAUACUUCCUCAUUUAUGAAGCCAUUUAGAAAAGCACUUUUCACAUCCAUUUGAUAUAGAAUAAAGUCUUUGAAACAUGCAAAAGCAAGCAACAUUCUAAUUGCUUCCAAUCUAGCUACGGGGGCAAAAGUCUCUUCAUAGUCUAUUCCUUCUUCUUGAUUAUACCCUUGGGCCACCAAUCUUGCCUUAUUUCUUACUAUGAUGCCAUUUUCAUCCAUUUUGUUUCUAAAGACCCAUUUAGUUCCAAUAACACUUUGAUUUGAAGGUCUUGGUACUAGUUCCCCAUACUUCACUUCUUUCAAAUUGAUUUAAUUCUUCUUGCAUAGCAAUCAUCCAAUUUUCAUCAACUAUAGCAUCUUUUAUGUUUUUAGGUUCAAUUUGAGAGAUGAAUGCAAGAUUAUUACAAAUAUUUCUAAGGGAUGAUCUAGUUCUUACCCCACUUGAUGGAUUACCAAUGAUUUGAUCUUGUGGAUGGUUGCUGACAAACUUCCAAUCUUUUGGGAGGUCUUGGCUUGAUUCUCCUUGCACUUGUUGAGGAGGAGGUAGUGCCAAAGGUGAAUCUUCUUUCUUGGGAUCCUCUCCACUUUCUUCUUGUUGUCUUUUGUCCUCAAUUUGCAAUUUUCCCAUGGAGGUCUCCAAUCCUAAAUCAUCAUCAACACUUUCUCUUUCUUGAAGAGAAUUGUUAGAUUCAUCAAAAAUGACAUGGAUGGACUCUUCUACAACCAUGGUUCUUUUGUUGAAAACUCUAAAAGCUUUACUUGAAGUUGAGUAGCCAAGAAAAAUUCCAACAUCAGAUUUUGCAUCAAAUUUUCCAAGAUUAUCUUUGGUGUUUAAUAUAAAACAUUUGCACCCAAAGACUUUGAAAUAGCUAAUGUUGGGUUUCUUGUUUUUCCAAAGCUCAUAGGGAGUUUUCUUAAGAAUGGGCCUCAACAAUAUUCUAUUUAAAACAUAGCAAGAAGUAUUUACCGCUUCAGCCCAAAAAUACUUUGGCAAAUUGUUUUCAUUUAGCAUGGUUCUAGCCAUUUCUUGAAGAGUUCUAUUUUUCCUUUCAACUACCCCAUUUUGUUAAGGAGUUCUAGGAGCCGAAAAAUUGUGAUUGAUACCAUGCUUAUUGCAAUAUUCCUCAAAGUCAAAAUUCUCAAAUUCUCUCCCAUGAUCACUUCUAAUGCAUGUGAUUGAAAAGCUUUUUUCAUUUUGAACCUUGUUACAAAAUUUUGAAAACUCAUAAAAAGCUUCACUCUUUUGACUUAAAAACAAGACCCAUGUGUAUCUAGAAAAAUCAUCCACAAUGACAUAAGCAUAAGAUUUUCCUCCUAGACUAGGUGUCCUAGAAGGACCAAAUAAAUCCAUGUGUAGCAAUUCAAGAGGUCUAGAUGUUGAGAUGAAAUUUUUGUUUUUAAAAGAGUUUUUGAUUUGCUUUCCCAUUUGACAAGCUUCACAAAUUUUGUCUUUUUGAAAAUUAAUUUUGGGAAGGCCUCUAACGAGUUCAUCUUUGUUGAGUUGGGAAAUGAGGUCCAUGUUAGCAUGUCCCAACCUCCUAUGCCACAACCAACUUUGAUCAUGCAUGCUUGAAAAACAUCUAUCAUGGCCAUCAUAUUUUGAAAUAUUUAUAGCAUAUGAAUUUUCACAUCUAUGGCCCAUGAAGAUGGUUUUGUCAUUUUGAAUAUCCUUGAUGAUACAAUGAGAUGCUUCAAAAAUUACUUUAAAACCUUUGUCACAAAGUUGACUAAUGCUCAAAAGAUUGUGUUUUAAACCAUCUACUAAUAAAACACUUUCAAUAAGGGAGGAUGUACCAUUACCUAUGUUACCUUGACCAAUGAUUCUUCCUUUUGCAUUGUCUCCAAAGGUGACAUAUCCUCCUUUUCUCUUUGUAAGGAAGGCAAACUUGGAUUCAUCUCCAGUCAUGUGUCUUGAGCACCCACUAUCCAAGAACCACUUAUCUUCCUUUGAGCCCUACAAAAUAGAAUUCAAGUUGAUUUAGGUACCCAUGUCUUCUUGGGUCCUUGAGGGUUAGUGACUUUGGAUUUUUCAAUCCAAACCUUUUUAACCUUAGCUUUUGAAUUCUUUUGAGCACCAUUUCUUAAGGGACAUGUACUACUAAUGUGCCCUCCUCUUCCACAAAAGUUACAAAUAGUGGAAGGACAUUCACUUGAGGAUUCUUUUACAAAAUAGUUUUUAAAAUACUUUUGGUUCUUUGAAGAUUUGAAUCCUAGUCCUUGUUUGUCAAAAACACAUUUUUGGCUUGCUAAGAUCAUUUCAAAGGACUUUUGUCCACAAGAGAAAAUUGAAAGAGAGGAGGUCAACCAUUCAUUUUUCUUUUUCAAAAUUUCAUUUUCAUUUCUUAAAAUCUCAUUCUCUCUUUCAAGAUGAGUUUUAGAGAUUUCAUCAAUUGAAAACUUUUCUUUCACUUCCUCAAGUUCUUUUUCAAGUUCUUGAAUUCUCUUUUUAAGAGAAUUAUUUUUCAAACUAAGUUUUUCAAAAUCCUCAUAUAGUUCUUCAAAAAUAACAUGCAUAUCUUCAUCACUAGAGUUAGAGUUUACCUCAUCAAGAUCAUCUAUUGCCAUGAAGCACAUGUUUGCCACUUCUUUUUCCUUUUCUUCCUCGGAAGAUUCUUCACUCUCACUCCAAGUGGCCAUCAUUGCCUUCUUCAUUCUUCUUUUGGCUUCAAUUUUGUAGAGAGGACAAUCAUAUUUAAUGUGUCCCGGAUUUUUGCAUUUGAAGCAUAUCAAAUCUCCUUUCUCUUCCCAUUUUUCUUUGUCACCAUGUGAUGAGGAUUCCCUUCUUGAGGGAUUUCUUCUAGAGGUAAACUUUUUCCCUCUAAACCUUUCACCUCUCAUGUACUUGUUUAGCUUUCUUGUGAUGAGAGCUAAAUCAUCAUCUUCCUCACUUGGUUUUUCUUCUUCAACAUCUUCUUCUUCCUUGGUUGUAGCCUUGAGAGCUAUGCUUUUCUUCUUCUUGUCUUCACUCUCUUGUAGUUGCUUUGUCAAACUGAUUUCAUAAGUCAUCAAUGACCCUAAGAGUUCUUCCAUAGGUAGCUUGGUCAAGUCUUUAGCUUCUUGAAUAGCGGUGACCUUUGUAUGCCACUUUGAGGGUAGAGACCUCAAUAUCUUCAUCACCUUUUCGGAUUCAUUUAUGACCCUUCCCAAUGCUUCAAGGCCAUUGACAAUUUCAGUGAACCUAGUGAUCAUCUCAACAAUAGUUUCGGUUUCUUUCAUUGAAAACAAUUCAUAGUUAUGGACAAGUAUAUUA
rnacentral:lncRNA from 1 species